rnacentral:rRNA from 1 species
UACGUAGGGGGCAAGCGUUGUCCGGAUUUAUUGGGCGUAAAGAGCGUGUAGGCGGUCAGGUAGGUCCGUUGUGAAAACUCGAGGCUCAACCUCGAGACGCCGAUGGAAACCAUCUGACUAGAGUCCGGAAGAGGAGAGUGGAAUUCCUGGUGUAGCGGUGAAAUGCGCAGAUAUCAGGAGGAACACCGGUGGCGAAGGCGGGUCUCUGGGCCGAUAUUGACGCUGAGGAGCGAAAGCGUGGGGAGCAAACAGG